CUCAGGGGCAUUGGUUAGUAAUCAGUGGUUUGAUGUCUAAUUGUUAGCUGGUAUCAGGUGGAGUGUCCCAGGGGUCAGUCCUAGGGCUGGUUUUGUUCAA